rnacentral:tRNA from 1 species
UCCAUCUUAGCUCAGUUGGUAGAGCGCGUCACUGGCAUAUGCAGAAAUGCUAUGACGAGCUCAGUCGUUCGAGUCGGCUAGAGGGAA